rnacentral:tRNA from 1 species
GGCUAGGGAGAGAAGGCUGUUCUCCAACACCCCGCUGAAGCCGGGGCUGUCGCAGGUUCAAGUCCUGCCCUCGGCA